GCCUACGGGGGGCAGCAGUAGGGAAUCUUCCACAAUGGGCGAAAGCCUAAUGGAGCAACGCCGCGUGGGUGAAGAAGGUCUUCUGAUCGUAAAACCCCGUUGUUAGAGAAGAAAGUGCGUGAGAGUAACUGUUCACGUUUCGACGGUAUCUAACCAGAAAGCCACGGCUAACUACGUGCCAGCAGCCGCGGUAAUACGUAGGUGGCAAGCGUUAUCCGGAUUUAUUGGGCGUAAAGGGAACGCAGGCGGUCUUUUAAGUCUGAUGUGAAAGCCUUCGGCUUAACCGGAGUAGUGCAUUGGAAACU
rnacentral:rRNA from 1 species